rnacentral:rRNA from 1 species
CCUACGGGUGGCACCAGUGGGGAAUAUUGCACAAUGGGGGAAACCCUGAUGCAGCGACGCCGCGUGAGUGAAGAAGUCAUUCGUUAUGUAAAACUCUAUCAGCCGGGAAGAAAAUGACGGUACCUGAGUAAGAAGCCCCGGCUAACUACGUGCCAGCAGCCGCGGUCAUACGGAGGGGGCAAGCGUUAUCCGGAUUGACGGGGGUUAAAGGGAGCGUAGACGGGAGUGCAAGUCUGGUGUGAAAGACGGGGGCUCAACCCCCGGACUGCUGUGGAAACUGUCCGGCUGGAGUGCAGGAGAGGUAAGUGGAAUUCGUGGUGUAGCGGUGAAAUGCGUAGAUAUUAGGAGGAACACCAGUGGCGAAGGCAGCUUACCGGACUGUAACUGACGUUGAGGCUCGAAAGCGUGGGGAGCAAACAGGAUUAGAUACCCCAGUAGUC